CCUACGGGAGGCAGCAGUGAGGAAUAUUGGUCAAUGGACGAGAGUCUGAACCAGCCAAGUAGCGUGAAGGAUGACUGCCCUAUGGGUUGUAAACUUCUUUUAUAUGGGAAUAAAAUGUUCCACGUGUGGGAUUUUGUAUGUACCAUAUGAAUAAGGAUCGGCUAACUCCGUGCCAGCAGCCGCGGUAAUCCGGAGGAUCCGCGCGUUAUCCGGAUUUAUUGGGUUUAAAGGGAGCGUAGGUGGAUUGUUAAGUCAGUUGUGAAAGUUUGCGGCUCAACCGUAAAAUUGCAGUUGAAACUGGCAGUCUUGAGUACAGUAGAGGUGGGCGGAAUGCGUGGUGUAGCGGUGAAAUGCUUAGAUAUCACGAAGAACACCGAUUGCGAAGGCAGUUCACUGGACUGCAACUGACACUGAGGCUCGAAAGUGUGGGUAUCAAACAGGAUUAGAUACCCCGGUAGUC
rnacentral:rRNA from 1 species